GAUUAAGCCAUGCAUGUGUAAGUAUAAAUAGUUAACUUUGAAACUGCGAAUGGCUCAUUAUAUCAGUUAUAGUUUAUUUGAUGAAAUAUACUAAUUGGAUAACCGUAGUAAUUCUAGAGCUAAUACAUGCUAUAAGUCUUGUAGACUGCAUUUAUUAGAAUGAAAACCAUAGGUUUCGGCCUAUUCGUGAGUAAUAAUAACUAAUCAUAUCGUAUGCUUUUGUAACGAUGUGUCUUUCAAGUUUCUGCCCUAUCAGCUUUCGAUGGUAGUGUAUUGGACUACCAUG
rnacentral:rRNA from 1 species